rnacentral:rRNA from 1 species
AUUGAACGCUGGCGGCGUGCUUAACACAUGCAAGUCGAUCGGUAACGCGGGGGCAACCCUGGCGACGAGAGGCGGACGGGUGAGGAACGCUUGGGAAUCUGCCCUUCAGCGGGGGACAACACGGGGAAACUCGUACUAAUACCGCAUACGCUCCACGGAGAAAAGCCGGGGACCGCAAGGCCUGGCACUGAAGGAUGAGCCCAAGUCGGAUUAGCUAGUUGGCGGGGUAACGGCCCACCAAGACGACGAUCCAUAGCUGGUCUGAGCGGACGAUCAGCCACACUGGGACUGAGACACGGCCCAGAAUCCUACGGGAGGCAGCAGUGGGGAAUAUUGGACAAUGGGGGAAACCCUGAUCCAGCGACGCCGCGUGGGUGAAGAAGGCCUGCGGGUUGUAAAGCCCUUUCGGUAGGGACGAAAGCUCUCGACCUAACACGUCGGGAGGUUGACUUAACCUACAAAAGAAGCACCGGCUAACUCUGUGCCAGCCGCCGCCGUAACAC